rnacentral:rRNA from 1 species
AGUGAACGCUGGCGGUAGGCCUAACACAUGCAAGUCGAACGGCGGCACAGUAAGAGCUUGCUCUUACGGGUGGCGAGUGGCGGACGGGUGAGGAAUACAUCGGAAUCUACUUUUUCGUGGGGGAUAACGUAGGGAAACUUACGCUAAUACCGCAUACGACCUACGGGUGAAAGCAGGGGAUCUUCGGACCUUGCGCGAUUGAAUGAGCCGAUGUCGGAUUAGCUAGUUGGCGGGGUAAAGGCCCACCAAGGCGACGAUCCGUAGCUGGUCUGAGAGGAUGAUCAGCCACACUGGAACUGAGACACGGUCCAGACUCCUACGGGAGGCAGCAGUGGGGAAUAUUGGACAAUGGGCGCAAGCCUGAUCCAGCCAUACCGCGUGGGUGAAGAAGGCCUUCGGGUUGUAAAGCCCUUUUGUUGGGAAAGAAAGGCAGCAGGUUAAUACCCCGCUGUUCUGACGGUACCCAAAGAAUAAGCACCGGCUAACUUCGUG